GACGAACGCUGGCGGCGUGCUUAACACAUGCAAGUCGAACGGAGAGGCCCUGCUUUUGUGGGGUGCUCGAGAGGCGAACGGGUGAGUAACACGUGAGUAACCUGCCCUUGACUUUGGGAUAACUUCAGGAAACUGGGGCUAAUACCGGAUAGGAGCUCCUGCUGCAUGGUGGGGGUUGGAAAGUUUCGGCGGUUGGGGAUGGACUCGCGGCUUAUCAGCUUGUUGGUGGGGUAGUGGCUUACCAAGGCUUUGACGGGUAGCCGGCCUGAGAGGGUGACCGGCCACAUUGGGACUGAGAUACGGCCCAGACUCCUACGGGAGGCAGCAGUGGGGAAUAUUGCACAAUGGGCGGAAGCCUGAUGCAGCAACGCCGCGUGCGGGAUGACGGCCUUCGGGUUGUAAACCGCUUUCGCCUGUGACGAAGCGUGAGUGACGGUAAUGGGUAAAGAAGCACCGGCUAACUACGUG
rnacentral:rRNA from 1 species